rnacentral:lncRNA from 1 species
AAAACUCUAAUGUUAAAAAAAGUAGAAAAAUAUUUAAAACAAAUGUCAAAUUAGUGACAUUUAUAUACAAAAAUCAAGGUAAAUUGAAAAAUACUAAGCCCCAAAUAAAAAUAAAAGGGCUGAGGAUAAAAUGCAGUGUUAAAGUACUUGUGAAAUAUGCAAUAUGUCCCUUGGUUUCAUCCCCAGCACCCCCUCAACACAAACACACGCAAAAGGAAAGAAAGAAAUAAAAAAGAAGAACUAGGAAAAUAAUUUUAAAUUGUCCAAAGAGUUAAUAUAAAUGGAUACCAAUAUGAAUAAGAAAACCAUGCUUAAUUUAAAAAAUAACACUGUAUUUAUAAAAACUGAAAUACCUCCCCAAAACAAAACAAAAAUAACAAAAACAUACAAGCAAACACUUCUAAAGCAAAACUUUGGACCUAAUCUUGUACUACAGAUAGGUUUAUGAAAAAUGUUUGUCUUUAGCAAAUGUGUGUAAAAUGCACACAGCGAGCCCCCAAAUAAAUUAUCCCUAGUUGGAAAUUUGAUUUCUAUUGAAAUAAACAUAAAAAAUUGUAUAGAUUAAUAAGCUAAUAUAAUCAAAGCUAGCAUAUUCAUAGAACUAAAAUCUCCUACAAAAUGUUGUAACUAAAUUCAUUUCUUGAUAAAAAAUCAAUUAUCUUAUUGUGAGUGAGUUCUCCUGAGACUUUAUUCUGCUCUCCACCUCUUAGCCCCAGUUCACCUCCUUUGACUUCUCAGCCUCCACUUAUUGUACCUUCUCAAUCCUUCCCUAGAUAUGUAUAAAAUAAAUAGUGGCACAUACAACUCAUAAUUCCUCAAAAAAAUUAUCUCUGAGGAAGUCAAUUUAGAAUCAGCUCUGCCUUUUGGCAAGUGUUGGUAAGGACCACUCACUCUGUAAGCUUAGCCAUCUUGUAGUAUCAUUUGUUAUUUUCUAUUGAGCUCUCCUCAAGUUUCUUAAUCCCUUAUGACUAGAAACUAAGCAUUGCAACCAUGUCUCCUGCAUUUCAAACCAUGCUAGCACAUUUUAAGACUCUAUAGAUAUUGUUAAAUCCAGCAGAAUGCAAUCUCAACUUCCAUUGAUCUUUUCUGUUACUCUAAUUUGGCAGUGUAUUUUGCUUAAUUUUUGGCAGUAUAUUUUCCCAUAAGUCAGUAUUGGAAAAAAAAAAAAGAUCUGCAAAAUAAUUUGAACAUAUAAUGUGGUACUAUGUCUUCAAUAAUUCACAUCCUGAAGAGUGUAAACAUGCAUGCUCCCCAAACCAUGUUCUGAUUCUUUGUGCUGAAAAAUAAUGAAACACACUCUAUGCAUUAUUUAAUCAACCCAUACAUCAUGCUCAUUUUUAGCUGUCUCCAACAAAAGGCCCUGUUUUAAAUACUCAUCAAAAUAAUAUACACUAGUAGUUUUUAAAAAUUCAACUUCAGCUCCAAUUACUUCAUAAAUUCAGAGGUUUAACUGGAAAGAGCACACAAUUCCACUAGGAUUAGUGGUAAUCUCUGGGAGAGCAGAGAGCAUGUCUAAGUAGUACUGUAGUCUUAGCAGUUCACAGGGACAUUAUGGAAGAGCGCCCUGGAGAACAUGAAUGACAGUCAAUUGCAUUCAAGGGACAGUUGGAAUAUUUGUAACCAUUAUUAAACUAUUUUCUCCACAAUCUUCAUGUAUGCUUGCCUAUAAGUCAAUAAAUAUAUUCAUAUAAUGGGUAAAAUCUGCCUGAAAAAAGCCCACAUAACUUACUUCUCAUUAUACAUGCAAAAUUUUACAUAUACAAGACUUCAAAUAACUUUUUAAUCACUGAAUGAAAAAAAAAGAAACAAAACU